rnacentral:lncRNA from 1 species
UUUCAGGCUUCCAAGAUGUCUCUCAGUGUGAUGUAGCUUCGUCUUCUCUUCGGUUACGGAGUGUCCCUACAAAAUCCAUUGACAGAGAGUCGCGUCCGAUUUUUCGGAUCAGUAGCAUCAGCCUUCGGGGGUUUCCAAAAGAGCAAGUAGAGGGGUGUGUCUUCAAUCCAAUCGCUCCAAGCGUCAUCGUUCAUCCGACACGGAUGUCCUUUAUCUGUAACACAUAGAGUACCACACAACUAAUUAAAAACAAAAAUAUUAAGAACAAAACAAACAAUAAAUAAUAAAAAAAACCCACACUUG